rnacentral:rRNA from 1 species
GCCAUGCCGCGUGGAGGAUGAAGGUCCUCUGGAUUGUAAACUUCUUUUAUUUGGGAAGAAACCCACGGUUUCUACUGUGGUUGACGGUACCAGAUGAAUAAGCACCGGCUAACUCCGUGCCAGCAGCCGCGGUAAUACGGAGGGUGCGAGCGUUAUCCGGAUUCACUGGGUUUAAAGGGUGCGUAGGCGGGCAGGUAAGUCAGUGGUGAAAUCCCCGAGCUUAACUUGGGAACUGCCGUUGAUACUAUCUGUCUUGAAUGCUGUGGAGGUAAGCGGAAUAUGUCAUGUAGCGGUGAAAUGCUUAGAUAUGACAUAGAACACCUAUUGCGAAGGCAGCUUGCUACACAGCUAUUGACGCUGAGGCACGAAAGCGUGGGGAUCAAACAGGAUUAGAUACCCUGGUAGUCCACGCCCUAAACGAUGGAUACUCGACAUCAGCGAUACACUGUUGGUGUCUGAGCGAAAGCAUUAAGUAUCCCACCUGGGAAGUACGACCGCAAGGUUGAAACUCAAAGGAAUUGGCGGGGGUCCGCACAAGCGGUGGAGCAUGUGGUUUAAUUCGAUGAAUAC